UACGGAGGUGGCAAGCGUUGUUCGGAAUUACUGGGCGUAAAGGGCGCGUAGGCGGCCUUGUAAGUCUCGUGUGAAAGCCCUCGGCUUAACUGAGGAUCUGCACGGGAUACUGCGAGGCUUGAGUUCGGGAGAGGAAAGCGGAAUUCCGGGUGUAGCGGUGAAAUGUGUAGAGAUCGGGAGGAACACCGGUGGCGAAGGCGGGUCUCUGGGCAAUUCCUGACGCUGAGGCGCGAAAGCGUGGGGAGCAAACGGG
rnacentral:rRNA from 1 species